rnacentral:lncRNA from 1 species
ACUCCCUGGGGGACUACUGUCAGGCCCUGGCCAACCACCCUGGGCAGUGUUGUCCCAUCUCAGGAUUGGACUUUCUCAGUUCCUGCAGAGGGCACAGCCUCCAGCCCAGGAGGGGCAGCACCAUGGUGCAGCCCGAGCUCUCCAUGGGCCUGGAGCAUCCCCUGCCAGCCCUGCACUCCCUCUUCUCCCAGGUCCCACUUUUCCAGUAUCAGCCAGCUGGUAGGCCCCCUCCUCCCUUCCCUAUGUGUCUCCUGGGUGGAAACUAGUGGCGGAUUGGGACAGGGAUGGUGCUUCCCUCAGGCCCACUUAGGGAGGGGACUGGCUCCCAGCCUGGUGCAGGUCCUCAGCUCUGCCUUUGUUGCCUCAGAGUGAGAAGGAUCAGUUAGUGCCCUGAAGGUGAAGGUAAGAGAUUGUCCUUGCUGUGUGGGAGGCUGUUCUAGGGAUGGAGGACUUGGCAGGUUCUCCCAGUCUGUCAGGCCUGGACAGCACUGUCCUGUCUCAGGACUCAGAAAGUCCAGUCCUGGGAUGGGACGGUGCUUCCCAGGGUGGGUGGCCAGGGUCUGACAGUAGUACCCCAGGGAGUGACCACAUCACCCAGCCAUGGUCCAGAGGGCCUGGACUGAGACCUGCUGAGUGCACUGAGGGUGCACCUGGAAUCCACUCCACCUGACAUCCCCGCAGCCCUCACAGGGCCUGACCUCCCAGCAUGCACCUGCCUCUGCCUGCACCCCAGCUGUCCACUCUGCCUGUUCCCUGACUUCCUCCAUUCUGUCCAGUAGGAUGAGCUGGUCUUGGGGGACAGCCUAUGUGCACAUUUGGUGGCAAGUAGAAGUGACACACCAUCCCUGGGAGUCACCAUAGUUCCUGCCAAACCCAGCCCCAGAACUCUGCCCCUGAGGUGGUUUUACUAAAUCCCAAACCCAGAACUGUGGUUGUGGCUCAGGGGUCAGCACCUGCUAGUGCCAGGACACUAUUGGGAGGCUGGGACCUGACCAAAACCCAUGGUGCCUGUGGCCUGAGGACAGUGUGUCUUGGGGCCAUAAGGCCAGGCCAACAAUGGCCAUUGUGUCAUAGGGGCUCAGCCCCAGUGUUUAUCCUUCCCUGGCUACUUCUGAUUCAGUCCCAUCAGGGCCCUGGAGCCCAAGACCCAGCAUCCAAGGUCCCCUCCAGGAAUCCUGGUGGCUCAGCUUACUUUAUUGUGUUUCAUCUGACAACAAAAAUGUCAGAUUGGAUGCACAGAAAAAUGACUGGAAGUGCUUAAUGACUAGAAGAAAUCUAGGAGCAGCAAGAAGGUAAUGUGGAGAGGGCAGGAACUCCAUGACUGAUAUCUGCAGAGCCAGGGGUACAGGCACCCAGUGCUGUGUCCUGGCACCACCUGUCUCUCUGAGGUUGAGUAGCACACUGUCCUUACCCAGAGGACAGCAGACCUGGUCACCAGGUUUCGGCCUGUCCCUGCAAGCAUCACAUUGCUGGAAGAGAAUCUCAUGCCAGAGCUGGCACCAUCCCUAGCUCAGGGGUUAGGGGUUGUCUCUUGGUGACCUAAAUGAAAAAAUAGGUCUAGAUCAGAUUUCCCGACGCUGAGCACUCAUCCACUCUUUGAAUCGUGGGAGGGGAGUCCCGGUCCUCGGCUGCUCCUCAAGGGAGACCCCUUUCAGGUAUGGGGCUGGGCAAGGUCAAUCCUGCUGGAUAUCUAGAAGGUGUAAACCAAGGACCUAGGAAAAUACCAGGUACAGACUUUCCACGCUCAUCCAGAGCAGGACAAACAGGCCAGGCGAUGUCAGGAGACCAGGUCUCCAGCUGGAGGGAACGUCAACCCUGCAGUGGGAGCAAGGGCCCAUUGCACAUCCUAGGCACAGAUGGUAACGUAGGCACCACAGGUAAGCUGGGCUUAGUACCCCUUCCUGGCUUCAGAAAGAAGCCAAACAAGGAGCUUUCUGCAGAAUGAAACCUCCUUUCCUUCCAGAAGCACUGCUGACUGGUGCUUGUUGUUUGUGGCAGUGAGCCCUUUGUUCAUUCUGCGGUUGGGCUGCUUUCUCCUCUGGGCCCUGCCCUGCAGAUCAGAAAGGAGAACAGUAAGAGGUCCCCAGCAAACAUCCAGAGAUGGCCCUGGAGAUAAGUCACCUUCUGAGAAACACGUCAUAUUCUAGGAGGGCUAAGGCAUUAACCUCACCCUGCAGGAAUCCAGUGACUAUAUUGCCGCCAGUGUACCCAUUCCUGAGGGGUGAUGCUUCUACAAGGCCUGUGACUUGGUGCACAACUUCAGACACCAUCAUCCUGAGCAAGUGGGCUUCUCCGGGAUCUUAAUUCAGGAGGUAGAAUGCAGCUUGAGAUCAACUGUCCGAUCAAAGAACUUGAACUUGAUCUGGAGUGCUUUGGGGAGCCAUGGAAGGUGCUGGAUAAAGGAGGGGCCAGUCAGAUACGUGUUAGAGAUGACUGUAGAAGGCUGACUGGAAUGAGUGAACAAGAGCAGACCAGGGAGGGAGCUUGUGGGGGAGGUCUGGAGAUGGCAAGGGAGGGAUCCUGCUUGGAUGAACAGUCUCCAGAGACUGUCUCAGGUUACAAUCAGGUGCCCUCAGAGCUAGUGUGUUCAGAGGUCUUGUCUCCAGGAUGAAAAUGGGAAGGAGUUGUCAGAUGAGGACGUGUAAAUGGAGGCUGGCCUGUUCAUGAAUGCCAGUGGUGGUCCUGGUGUGGGGCUACUAUGAGAACAGGGGUCUCUCCAUCCAGGGACAUGGUGGAUGGACCCUACAUCACUCCAUUCUGCCCUUUCCUUCCCUCCUCCCAUUCUACCGAGGGCCUCACUGCGUUGGCACUCUCCAUCCUCUGGUACUGAAGCAGCCAAGAGACACAAACCUGCCUGGCCACCUUUAGAAUAUGACAGCACAGCCAGUGGCCUCUACUGGAUCCUGUACAACCUCACAAGACCCCCAGACACCAGGAGUGCUGCUAGAACAUGGUGCAAGAGUCCUGAGGGACCACAGUCCUGAAGACAUUGAAUGUUUUUAGGUGAAAAAAACUGGGGCAAAGAGCAAUACAAGAGAGUUGCCGAAAUUCGUUCUGCUUGUCCAGGUUUGAAGCAAGCAGUCUGCACCUAGUGUCCUUGUCUGUAACCAUGGCACCCUGGUUUCUCACACAUCUCAUAAUGGAGUUCCACCUUGUGUCAAGCAUGGCACUGAGCAGUUUAUUUUAAGAACAUAAUUUGUAAUUAUGUAGAUUACUAAUUCUACUUCAAAAUGACACACAGUCUUCAUGUGAUAAAAGGAAACAAUUGGGAUCUCUACUAAGAUGUUGGCAGCCCGGCCAGCUGGUCUGGCCAUGGAUGUGACUUCAGGGGCUGGUUAUGCUUCAUGCACCUGCUUCUAGCUUCACUGUUGGGCCAGAUUUCAUCCCCACCCCAGCUCUGCAGCGCAGCUGCUUCUUGAUUCCUCCAUGGACCCUGCGUGAAAUUACCCCAUGUUUCCCUUUGUGCACCACUGAGGAAGGAAGCAUGAAGGACACACAGCCAUUUUGCAGACCCUGGUCACAGUGAAACAUUCCAUGGGAACUCGGGCUGUGAGAAACAUCCUUCCUAACCACAUGACUGCAGGAACAUCCUUAUCGCAUCCUCCCAGGCAAAGGUCCAACAGCCUGACUGCAGGGACAUCCUUGCCGUUUCCUGCUGGGCAGCAAGCUCUACCACCCAGACCCCUCCCUCCCAUCCCAUGAUUACCUCAGCCUGUGAGCGGCAGUUGGCGCUGGCACUAAGCUGGUUCACCCCUCCUCAGGGUUUUGUUGGCAAUAAAAGUGUUGCUGUUGAAGCCGCCAACUGUCUCUCUCUGUCU